GAUGAAUAUAUGAGGCACACCUGCAAAACGAGGGAAGUCAACAUUCAACACUGCAACACUUGACUGUGACUGAUAGAAGAGUGCAGAGGUCAUGUGACAGCUCUUCAGCUCCGUCAACCCAAGGUCGAGCGAUCACCUCCAGAUGAAUAAACCCACGAGAUGUCACACAGAUUACGGGCAACUUCAUGAAGGUCCAGGAAUGGAGCAGGGAGAGUCCGGACCCUCACCCCGGAACCCCGGCGCGAGUUGGAGCAAAAACAAAUGGCCAAAAACAGCCGCCAAUUGGACUGACGUACCUUGAAAAAGAGACUUUAUUGAAAGGAUCCGGAAAUACGUCUGGACCGUUCUAAUUCCUCUCAUUUUUAGCUGACAUUCAUGAAAUGGCCAAUCAUUUUGAUUUCACCUGGGGAAUUUUAGUAGAAACAUUGAGACAAAUCAGAUAAAAACGACAUUAAGUCUUCUGAGCAACCCGUGAGCAAUAACACUUUCU